GACGAACGCUGGCGGCGUGCUUAACACAUGCAAGUCGAACGGAAAGGCCCUGCUUUUGUGGGGUGCUCGAGUGGCGAACGGGUGAGUAACACGUGAGUAACCUGCCCUUGACUUUGGGAUAACUUCAGGAAACUGGGGCUAAUACCGGAUAUGAGCUCCUGCUGCAUGGUGGGGGUUGGAAAGUUUCGGCGGUUGGGGAUGGACUCGCGGCUUAUCAGCUUGUUGGUGGGGUAGUGGCUUACCAAGGCUUUGACGGGUAGCCGGCCUGAGAGGGUGACCGGCCACAUUGGGACUGAGAUACGGCCCAGAGGCCUACGGGAGGCAGCAGUGGGGAAUAUUGCACAAUGGGCGGAAGCCUGAUGCAGCAACGCCGCGUGCGGGAUGACGGCCUUCGGGUUGUAAACCGCUUUCGACUGUGACGAAGCGUGAGUGACGGUAAUGGGUAAAGAAGCACCGGCUAACUACGUG
rnacentral:rRNA from 1 species